rnacentral:lncRNA from 1 species
AAGGAAAGCCCUUCCAACGGCCCUAACAAAGAUCGGAUGGCCCUUUUGUACCCUAGUGAGGAAGGAGACCCUAUGCAGACCUUCGGAUCCUUGAUGCCCUUCGAGAGGCAUCUGAGAUCCUUAAGGCCAUAGCAAAUCAGACCUUUUAGGGACCUCCGAAUCCUUGAUGCCCUUUGGGAUGCAUCUGAGAUUUUUGAGACUACAGUGGACCAGACCCUAUGAGGAUCUUCAAAUCAUUGAUACCCUUCGGGAGGCACCUGAGAUCCUCGAGACCACAACA